CCGGAGCUAACGCGUUAAGUAGACCGCCUGGGGAGUACGGCCGCAAGGUUAAAACUCAAAUGAAUUGACGGGGGCCCGCACAAGCGGUGGAGCAUGUGGUUUAAUUCGAUGCAACGCGAAGAACCUUACCUGGUCUUGACAUCCACGGAAGAAUCCAGAGAUGGAUUUGUGCCUUCGGGAGCCGUGAGACAGGUGCUGCAUGGCUGUCGUCAGCUCGUGUUGUGAAAUGUUGGGUUAAGUCCCGCAACGAGCGCAACCCUUAUCCUUUGUUGCCAGCGGUCCGGCCGGGAACUCAAAGGAGACUGCCAGUGAUAAACUGGAGGAAGGUGGGGAUGACGUCAAGUCAUCAUGGCCCUUACGACCAGGGCUACACACGUGCUACAAUGGCGCAUACAAAGAGAAGCGACCUCGCGAGAGCAAGCGGACCUCAUAAAGUGCGUCGUAGUCCGGAUUGGAGUCUGCAACUCGACUCCAUGAAGUCGGAAUCGCUAGUAAUCGUGGAUCAGAAUGCCACGGUGAAUACGUUCCCGGGCCUUGUACACACCGCCCGUCACACCAUGGGAGUGGGUUGCAAAAGAAGUAGGUAGCUUAACCUUCGGGAGGGCGCUUACCACUUUGUGAUUCAUGACUGGGGUGAAGUCGUAACAAGGUAACCGUAGGGGAACCUG
rnacentral:rRNA from 1 species